rnacentral:rRNA from 1 species
GCUACCAUGCAGUCGACGGUAACAUAAAGUACUUGUACUUGAUGACGACCGGCGCACGGGUGCGUAACGCGUAUGCAACCUACCCACAACUGGAGCAUAGCCCGGAGAAAUCCGGAUUAAUACUCCAUAAUGCAGGGGUACCUCCUGGUACUAUUUGCUAAAGAUUUAUCGGUUGUGGAUGGGCAUGCGUCUGAUUAGUUUGUUGGUGAGGUAACGGCUCACCAAGACCACGAUCAGUAGGGGGUCUGAGAGGAUGAUCCCCCACACUGGCACUGAGAUACGGGCCAGACUCCUACGGGAGGCAGCAGUAGGGAAUAUUGGGCAAUGGGCGAGAGCCUGACCCAGCCAUGCCGCGUGAAGGAUGAAGGCCUUCUGGGUUGUAAACUUCUUUUAUACAGGAAGAAACCAUUCUACGUGUAGGGUGUUGACGGUACUGUAAGAAUAAGCACCGGCUAACUCCGUGCCAGCAGCCGCGGUAAUACGGAGGGUGCAAGCGUUAUCCGGAAUCAUUGGGUUUAAAGGGUCCGUAGGCGGAUUAAUAAGUCAGAGGUGAAAUCCUACAGCUUAACUGUGGAACUGCCUUUGAUACUGUUAGUCUUGAGUUAUGUGGAAGUAGAUAGAAUGUGUAGUGUAGCGGUGAAAUGCUUAGAGAUUACACAGAAUACCGAUUGCGAAGGCAGUCUACUACGCAUAUACUGACGCUAAUGGACGAAAGCGUGAGCAGCGAACAGGAUUAGAUACCCUGGUAGUCCACGUCGUAAACGAUGGACACUAGUUGUUGCUACCAUGCGCUACCAUGCGCUACCAUGCGCUACCAUGCGCUACCAUGCGUAC